AUACGGAGGGGGUUAGCGUUGUUCGGAAUUACUGGGCGUAAAGCGCACGUAGGCGGACUGGAAAGUUGGGGGUGAAAUCCCGGGGCUCAACCCCGGAACUGCCUCCAAAACUUCCAAUCUAGAGAUCGAGAGAGGUGAGUGGAAUUCCAAGUGUAGAGGUGAAAUUCGUAGAUAUUUGGAGGAACACCAGUGGCGAAGGCGGCUCACUGGCCCGAUACUGACGCUGAGGCGCGAAAGCGUGGGGAGCAAACAGGAUUAGAAACCCUAGUAGUCC
rnacentral:rRNA from 1 species